AUAUCAAUAAGCGGAGGAAAAGAAACCAACAGGGAUUGCCCUAGUAACGGCGAGUGAAGCGGCAAUAGCUCAAAUUUGAAAUCUGGUUCCUUUGGGGGCCCGAAUUGUAAUUUGUAGAGGAAGCUUCGGUGAAGAUACUGGCCCAAGUCCCCUGGAACGGGACGUCAUAGAGGGUGACAAUCCCGUCUAGGUCAUGGCCUGAGCGUGUCAGUAUCAAGGAGGCUCGACGAGUCGGGUUGUUUGGGAAUGCAGCCCAAAAUGGGAGGUACAUUUCUCCUAAAGCUAAAUAUUGGCAAGAGACCGAUAGCGCACAAGUA
rnacentral:rRNA from 1 species